UGAUGAUGAUGAGGAUGAUGAUGAUGAUGACGAUGAAAUUAUUUUUUAAAUCGGUUGUUCUGCUGCUGUAUUCAUGAAAAUCAUCAUCAUCAUCAUCAUCAUCAUCAUCAUCGUCA
rnacentral:miRNA from 1 species